GUGAACCAGUGGCUCAGCGGUUAAAGCAGUUGGUUUGCAAUCAGUUGGUCGCAUGUUCGAAUCUUACUCCACU
rnacentral:tRNA from 1 species